AUGAUUUUCCUACCUUCAAAUAUUCCCAAGAACCACUGGUUCCUGGCUGUUGUCAACUCCCAAAAGAGGGAGAUUCAAAUUCUGGACUCACUCCAAUCACGCAACAACCGGAAAGAAGUAAUUGCUGCGCUUCUUGGAAUGGAAACACAUAUUGAUAUAGCAGUGAUGGAAAAUGGAAUGCAAGGAAGUAGAUGGCCGGACACUCAAGUGGCUUCGUGGCCUAUCAAAGACUAUGAAGUGCCACAGCAAACAGAUGGUUGUUCCUGUGCUCUCUGGGUGUUGAAAUUCAUCCAAUAUUGGACCGGAGUGAGAUUGUCGGCAAUAUUCAACCAGGAUGACAUAAGACAGUUCAGAAGAUGGCUUGCUGCUGCCUUGAUCAAUUCACCUCACAAUGAGUUGAAAGUUCGGAAGGCCAUACCAGCAGUUGAUUUAGAAGAUGAUUUAGAAGACCUCGACCUCGGAGGUGACGACGGACACAACGACAGCGGAGAUGUCUCAGGAGACGAUGGUUCCGCACUAUAG
rnacentral:rRNA from 1 species